GCUUGUCUCAAAGAUUAAGCCAUGCAUGUCUAAGUAUAAAUAAUUCUAUACUGUGAAACUGCGAAUGGCUCAUUAUAUCAGUUAUAGUUUAUUUGAUAGUCCCUUACUACUUGGAUAACCGUAGUAACUCUAGAGCUAAUACAUGCGCAAAUUCCCGACUGCUUUACGGCGGAAAGGAUGUAUUUAUUAGAUUAACCAACCCUCCGGGUUCUGGUGACUCAUAAUAACUGAGCGAACCGCAUGCUCACGCGGCGGUAGUUCGACCAAGUUUCUGCCCUAUCAGCUUUCGAUGGUAGGGUAUUGGCCUACCAUGGCGUUCACGGGUAACGGAGAAUUAGGGUUCGAUUCCGGAGAGGGAGCCUGAGAGAUGGCUACCACAUCCAAGGAAGGCAGCAGG
rnacentral:rRNA from 1 species